rnacentral:rRNA from 1 species
UGCCAGCCGCCGCGGUAACACGGGGGGUGCAAGCGUUAAUCGGAAUUACUGGGCGUAAAGCGCGCGUAGGUGGUUAGUUAAGCGAGAUGUGAAAGCCCUGGGCUCAACCUGGGAACUGCAUUUCGAACUGGCUGGCUAGAGUAUGGUAGAGGUGAGUGGAAUUUCCUGUGUAGCGGUGAAAUGCGUAGAUAUAGGAAGGAACAUCAGUGGCGAAGGCGACUCACUGGACUAAUACUGACACUGAGGUGCGAAAGCGUGGGUAGCGAACAGGAUUAGAUA